UACCUGGUUGAUCCUGCCAGUAGCAUAUGCUUGUCUCAAAGAUUAAGCCAUGCAUGUCUAAGUACAAGCCGCUAGACGGCGAAACCGCGAAUGGCUCAAUAAAUCAGUUAUGGUUCCUUAGAUCCACUCCAUCCUACUUGGAUAACUGUGGUAAUUCUAGAGCUAAUACAUGCACUCGAGCCUCGACUGCGGGCUUUCGGGCUCGCAGAAGAGGUGCUUUUAUUAGAUCAAAACCAGUCGGGGCCGGGCUUUCGGGCUCGCGCACCGUACCAAUUUUGGUGACUCUGGAUAACUUCACGCCGAUCGCACGGCCUUCGCGCCGGCGACGUAUCUUUCAAAUGUCUGCCUUAUCAACUGUCGAUGGUAGGUUACGCGCCUACCAUGGUUGCAACGGGUAACGGGGAAUCGGGGUUCGAUUCCGGAGAGGGAGCCUGAGAAACGGCUACCACAUCCAAGGAAGGCAGCAGGCGCGCAAAUUACCCACUCCCGGCACGGGGAGGUAGUGACGAAAAAUAACGAUACGGGACUCUUCCGAGGCCCCGUGAUUGGAAUGAGUACACUUUAAAUAGUACACUUUAAAUCCUUUAACGAGGAACCAUUGGAGGGCAAGUCUGGUGCCAGCAGCCGCGGUAACUCCAGCUCCAAUAGCGUAUAUUAAAGUUGUUGCGGUUAAAAAGCUCGUAGUCGGAUGUCUGUCUUCGGCCGGGCGGCGCCGCUCUGAAUCAAGGGUGUUGCGUUUCACGCUCUGGGAGCCCGGGUGUCAAAGCCCGACUCUCUUCACGGUCGGACAACAUCGCCGGAGUGGUGGUCGGUGCGUCGUUGUUGUAUCUGCGGCCAGAGUUGGAAAGUUCUUUCGGGUUCUUUUUUAAAUUUUGGUCGUAGUUGACUCGAUUCGCUCCACCCAGUCAAUCGUUCGGGGUGCCCUUCACCGGGUGUCUCGGGCGGCCGGCAACGUUUACUUUGAACAAAUUAGAGUGCUCAAAGCAGGUGUAUCCCAACGCCUGAAUAUCGCAGCAUGGAAUGAUGGAAUAGGACCUCGGUCCGAUUUUGCUGGUCUUUUACUUUUGGACCCGAGGUAAUGGUCAAUAGAGACGGACGGGGGCAUUCGUACUGCGGCGACAGAGGUGAAAUUCUUGGACCGCCGCAAGACGAACAACAGCGAAGGCAUUUGCCAAGAAUGUUUUCCUUGAUCAAGAACGAAAGUUAGAGGUUCGAAGGCGAUCAGAUACCGCCCUAGUUCUAACCAUAAACGAUGCCAACCAGCAAUCCGUCGGAGUUACUCCAAUGACUCGACGGGCAGCUUCCGGGAAACCAAAGUCUUUGGGUUCCGGGGGAAGUAUGGUUGCAAAGCUGAAACUUAAAGGAAUUGACGGAAGGGCACCACCAGGAGUGGAGCCUGCGGCUUAAUUUGACUCAACACGGGAAACCUCACCAGGCCCGGACACUGGAAGGAUUGACAGAUUGAGAGCUCUUUCUUGAUUCGGUGGGUGGUGGUGCAUGGCCGUUCUUAGUUGGUGGAGCGAUUUGUCUGGUUAAUUCCGAUAACGAACGAGACUCUAGCCUGCUAAAUAGGUGACGGGUUUUAUCAAUUGAAACCGAAGGGAGUACGGAGGCGUCGGGAUCAGGUGGCGGCGAUUCGGGUCUCGGUGGGACUGGUUCCUUUAGUGAGGCAAUCUCUCGGCUUGGUUUCGUUGUGCUCUGUUCGUCGGGUGUACGGCCUUCACGGGUUGGUUGCCUGGCGGAUGAGGUAUGGCGGGGCUUUGUCGGGAAUGUCUCGCGGGGGCUGGCUCUAUUGUUAUUCGGUCGUCGUCAUCCCCGGCGAUACCUUCUGCUCUCGCGUCCGUCACGCAGUCUUCUUAGAGGGACAAGCGGCGUCCAGCCGCGUGACAGUGAGCAAUAACAGGUCUGUGAUGCCCUUAGAUGUCCUGGGCCGCACGCGCGCUACACUGAAGGAAUCAGCGUGUUUCACUCUCCCUGUCCGAAAGGACCGGGUAACCGCUGAACCUCCUUCGUGGUUGGGAUUGGGGACUGCAAUGAUCCCCAUGAACCAGGAAUCCCUAGUAGGCGCGGGUCACUAGCCCGCGUCGAUUACGUCCCUGCCCUUUGUACACACCGCCCGUCGCUACUACCGAUUGAAUGAUUUAGUGAGGCCUUCGGACGGGCUUGUCGGGGGUGCCGUCGAGUGGGGGAGCAAUCUCUGCCCGUGCGGUGCCUACCAACGGCGAGACUGAAAGAUGGUCGAACUUGAUCCUUUAGAGGAAGUAAAAGUCGUAACAAGGUUUCCGUAGGUGAACCUGCGGAAGGAUCAUAA